ACUGAAACACGGCCCAUACUCCUACGGGAGGCAGCAGCAGGGAAUAUUGCACAAUAGGCGAAAGCCUGAUGCAGCGACGCCGCGUGAGUGAAGAAGGCCUUCGGGUCGUAAAGCUCUUUUGUAGGGGAAGAGGAAGGACGGUACCCUAAGAAGAAGCGUCGGCUAACUACGUGCCAGCAGCCGCGGUAAGACGUAGGACGCGAGCGUUAUCCGGAAUUACUGGGCGUAAAGGGCCAGCAGGCGGCUUGGUAAGUUGUGCGUGAAAGCCUCGUGCUCAACGCGAGGAAGCCGGACAAUACUGUCAAGCUAGAGGGCAUCAGAGGGGAGUGGAAUUCCCGGAGUAGCGGUAAAAUGCGCAGAUAUCGGGAGGAACACCGAUGGCGAAGGCAGCUCCCUGGGAUGCACCUGACGCUAAGAGGCGAAAGCUAGGGGAGCGAACAGGAUUAGAGACCCUGGUAGUCCUAGCUGUAAACGCUGGGUGCUAGGUGUGGGACGUAGAAGUUCCGUGCCGGAGCAAACGCGAUAAGCACCCCGCCUGGGAAUUACGGUCGCAAGGCUAAAACUCAAACGAAUUGACGGGGCCCCGCACAAGCAGCGGAGCGUGUGGUUCAAUUCGAUGCUACACGAAGAACCUUACCUGGGUUUGACAUGUACGUGGUACGAAGGCGAAAGCCUAAGGACCCUUCGGGGAGCGUACACAGGUGCUGCAUGGCUGUCGUCAGCUCGUGCCGUGAGGUGUCGGGUUAAGUCCCGUAACGAGCGCAACCCUUGCCCUUAGUUACAAGUGUCUAAGGGGACUGCCGGCGGGAAGCCGGAGGAAGGUGGGGAUGACGUCAAGUCAGCAUGGCCCUUAUGUCCAGGGCUACACACACGCUACAAUGGUCAGUACAAAGGGUAGCGAAGUCGCGAGGCGGAGCGAAUCUCAACAAAGCUGAUCGUAGUUCGGAUUGCAGGCUGCAACCCGCCUGCAUGAAGCUGGAGUUGCUAGUAACCGCGCGUCAGCCAUAGUGCGGUGAAUACGUACCCGGGGCUUGUACACACCGCCCGUCACGUCAUGGGAGUCGGUAACGCACUGAAGCCGGUAGUCUGGCCCGCAAGGGGGACGCUGUCGAAGGCGGGACUGGCAACUGG
rnacentral:rRNA from 1 species